rnacentral:rRNA from 1 species
AUUGAACGCUGGCGGCAGGCCUAACACAUGCAAGUCGAGCGAGCGGCGGACGGGUGAGUAAUGUCUGGGAAACUGCCUGAUGGAGGGGGGUAACUACUGGAAACGGUAGCUAAUACCGCAUACCAUCAGAUUUGCCCAGAUGGGAUUAGCUAGUAGGUGGGGUAACGGCUCACCUAGGCGACGAUCCCUAGCUGGUCUGAGAGGAUGACCAGCCACACUGGAACUGAGACACUGACCAGACGCCUACGGGAGGAAGCAGUGGGGAAUAUUGCACAAUGGGCGCAAGCCUGAUGCAGCCAUGCCGCGUGGGUGAAGAAGGCCUGCGGGUUGGAAAGUACUUUCAGCGGGGAGGCGUUACCCGCAGAAGAAGCACCGGCUAACUCCGUGCCAGCAGCCGCGGUAAUUC